AGCUAACACAGCUCUUUUAGAAUUUUUCUAGCAAGUUUUCUGUCUUUGGUCAGAAAACCAAA
ensembl:snRNA LOC120102614 U7 small nuclear RNA